AUUCCAGCUCCAAGAGCGUAUAUUAAAGUUGUUGCAGUUAAAAAGCUCGUAGUUGGAUUUCUGGUCUAAUGCGCCUGGCCCGCUGCCGUUAGGUAUGUGAGUGCCGGUGCGCGUUUACCAUCCUUCCAGAGAACACUUCUACCAUUUAUUUGGACGGAUGUUGUCUUCUGGAUCUUUUACUUUGAAAAAAUUAGAGUGUUUAAAGCAGGCCUUUGCUGUGAAUACAUUAGCAUGGAAUAAUAAUCUAGGACUUCGGUUCUAUUUUGUUGGUUUCUAGUACUGAAGUAAUGAUUGAUAGGGAUAGUUGGGGGUGCUAGUAUUGGCCGGCCAGAGGUGAAAUUCUUGGAUUCGGUCAAGACUAACUUAUGCGAAAGCAUUCACCAAGGAUGUCUUCAUUG
rnacentral:rRNA from 1 species